GCAGGGACUAGAAUGGGGGGUUUGGCGUCCCCUGUUGCCAUAAACCGCCAUCACGAUGGAUUCGAAGCCUGAAGGAGGUAUUGGGAUAUCUUAAGACCCCAUGCCCCUGACGUCGAAGCUCUGUCCCGCAGGGUCGUUGGUUUGAUGAACCAGGUCAGGACCGGAAGGUAGCAGCCUUAAGUCAUGUUAAUGACGCUUACGGGGUAGCGGAGUGGAGGAAGGGGUUUGGACAAGUCUUUCGCGAUUCCAGUAUCGACUGAUGGCGUGUUCCUGC
rnacentral:SRP_RNA from 1 species